AUGCACGGCGGCGGGUCGAAGAUGCUGGGGGUGGUGAACUUCAUCACCUUCCUGGCGUCGAUCCCGGUGCUGGGGGGCGGCAUCUGGCUGGCGUCGCGGGCCAACUCCACGGACUGCAUCCGCUUCCUGCAGUGGCCCAUCAUCAUCAUCGGCCUCGCCGUCAUGGUCGUCUCCCUCAUGGGCUUCGCCGGCGCCUGCUACCGCCAGACCUGGCUGCUCCGCAUCUACCUCUUCGCCAUGUUCUUCAUCGUCGUCGCGCUGCUCUUCUUCAUCGUCUUCGCCUUCGCCGUCACCGACCGCGGGGAGGGCCAGGUGGUCAUGAACCGCCGCUUCCUCGAGUACCAGCUCUCCGACUACAACGGAUGGCUCCGCAACCGCGUCGCCGACCCGGAGUACUGGGCCACCAUCAGCGCGUGCCUCCGCGACGGCCGCGCCUGCGCCUCCAUGCGCCGCCCCGCCCGCGACCCCAACACCGGCAUGCUCGUCACCGAGCCCCCCGUCAUGUUCUACGGCCGCAACCUCUCCCCGAUUCAGUCAGGAUGCUGCAAGCCACCGACUUCAUGCGCGUUCACCUACAACAACGAGACAUACUGGAGCGCGAACCCCGGCGUCCCCACCGUGGUGACCGACCCCGACUGCCUCAAAUGGAGCAACGACCAGCAGACGCUGUGCUUCCAGUGCGACUCGUGCAAGGCCGGCGUCCUGGCCGGCAUCAAGAAGAGCUGGCGCAAGGUGGCCAUCAUCAACAUCGUCGUGCUCAUCAUCCUCAUUAUCGUCUACGUCGCCGGCUGCGCCGCGUUCCGCAACGCCAAGAGGGACGACAACGACGAGUCGUAUGGCAUGGCCAGGAUGACCAAGUCCCGGCCGAGCAGGUUCCAGUUCUAG
rnacentral:rRNA from 1 species